rnacentral:rRNA from 1 species
CUGCAUGGGGGAGCUAUAAUGCAGUCGACGCUUUGUGGUUCAACUGAUUUGAUAAGCUUGCUCAGAUAUGACGAUGGACAUUGCAAAGAGUGGCGAACGGGUGAGUAACACGUGGGAAACCUACCUCUUAGCAGGGGAUAACAUUUGGAAACAGAUGCUAAUACCGUAUAACAAUGACAACCGCAGGGUUGUUAUUUAAAAAAUGGUUCUGCUAUCACUAAGAGAUGGUCCCGCGGUGCAUUAGCUAGUUGGUAAGGUAAUGGCUUACCAAGGCGAUGAUGCAUAGCCAAGUUGAGAGACUGAUCGGCCACAAUGGGACUGAAACACGGCCCAUACUCCUACGGGAGGCAGCAGUAGGGAAUCUUCCAAAAUGGGCGAAAGCCUGAUGGAGCAACGCCGCGUGUGUGAUGAAGGGUUUCGGCUCGUAAAACACUGUUGUAAGAAAAAAAUGACAUUGAAAGUAACUGUUCAAUGUGUGACGGUAUCUUACCAAAAAGGAACGGCUAAUUACGUGCCAGCAGCCGCGGUAAUACGUAUGUUCCAAGCGUUAUCCGGAUUUAUUGGGCGUAAAGCGAGCGCAGACGGUUAUUUAAGUCUGAGGUGAAAGCCCUCAGCUCAACUGAGGAAUUGCUUUGGAAACUGGAUGACUUGAGUGCAGUAAAGGAAAGUGAAACUCCAUGUGUAGCGUUGAAAUGCGUAGAUAUAUGGAAGAACACCAGUGGCGAAGGCGGCUUUCUGGACUGUAACUGACGUUGAGGCUCGAAAGUGUGGGUAGCAAACAGGAUUAGAUACCCUGUUAGUCCACACCGUAACGAUGAGUGCUAGGUGUUUGAGGGUUUCCGCCCUUAAGUGCCGCAGCUAACGCAUUAUCACUCCGCCUGGGGGAGUACGACCCGCAAGGUUGAAACUCAAAGGAAUUGACGGGGACCCGCACAAGCGGUGGAGCAUGUGGUUUAAUUCGAAGCAACGCAAAAGAACCUUAACCAGGUCUGAGACAUCCCUUUGACAACUACAGAAGAUGGAGCGUUUCCUCUCCGGUAACCAAGUGACAGGUGGUGCAUGGUUUGUCGUCAGCUCGGUGUCGUGGAAGAUGUUGGGUUUAAGUCCCCGCAACCGAGGCGCACCCUUAUAUUAACAUAGGUUGCCAGCAAUAUCAGUUGGCACCUCUUAUGUUGGAACCUGCCGGUGACAAACCGGAGAGAAGGUGGGCAUGACUUCAUUCUACUAUGCCUUAAGAACCUUGGGGUCCCUUACACACACACGUGGUGCUUCAACAAUAC